GACCCCAGAUCAGGCAGACACCGUGC
rnacentral:rRNA from 1 species